AUUGAACGCUGGCGGCAUGCCUUACACAUGCAAGUCGAACGGUAACAGGCCGCAAGGUGCUGACGAGUGGCGAACGGGUGAGUAAUGCAUCGGAACGUGCCCAGUCGUGGGGGAUAACGCAGCGAAAGCUGCGCUAAUACCGCAUACGAUCUCUGGAUGAAAGCGGGGGACCGAAAGGCCUCGCGCGAUUGGAGCGGCCGAUGUCAGAUUAGGUAGUUGGUGGGGUAAAGGCCCACCAAGCCAACGAUCUGUAGCUGGUCUGAGAGGACGACCAGCCACACUGGGACUGAGACACGGCCCAGACUCCUACGGGAGGCAGCAGGGGGGAAUUUUGGACAAUGGGCGCAAGCCUGAUCCAGCAAUGCCGCGUGCAGGAAGAAGGCCUUCGGGUUGUAAACUGCUUUUGUACGGAACGAAACGGUCCGGGUUAAUACCCUGGGCUAAUGACGGUACCGUAAGAAUAAGCACCGGCUAACUACGUGCCAGCCGCCGCUGUAACAC
rnacentral:rRNA from 1 species